GAAACGGUGAGGACGCUUGAUUGGUGCUUUUUCUGCAGCGUUUGGCUUCUCUCUGUCACUUCGUAUAUUUGUUUUGGUUUCGGUGAUUGUUUGUUAUACCUUAAGGAGUUGGAUUUGAAUUGCGUUUUCGGAUUUUUAUUUAUUUAUGGAAGUAGUGACAGAAAUCGGUUGAAUCUCGGAUAUUGUGUUUCCUAGGUAGACUGUUCUUGCCUUCUUGGAAUCGACGGUGAUCUUGCGAUUCUGUUGACGUCGAUCCCUUGUGAUGACGAUUGGUCUAACUCUUAACCUGUUAUUAAGAACUGAUUAAAUGAAUUUGUUUUGAUAUCUGUUCUUCUUGGAGUUUUCACAAAAGCAUUGCUACUGUUCAUUGUUGAACGUAAUUAAGAGUAUUGGCUAUCUUUUCAUUGGGUUAUGCUGUGCAGAUGGACAGAUGGUUCUUUUGGGUUUCUUUCCCCUGUUACGAGAUUUAUGGAGUUGGAGUGUUGGCAGCGUAGCUGUUUUUCGUGGACGGAAUUUGGUUUAGUCGUUGAGUUUUAUAUUUCUUCUUGUUUAUAAUUUUGGAAGUUUAGAAAAAAAUAUUUCAAUACAUGGUUUCUGCCUGCAGUGAUGUUGCUGCUAAUCCUUUUCUAAAGAGCUGAUCCUUCAACUUCCUCAUGGCCGUUACGAAGUUUGGAAGAGAUGAGGAGAUAGUAAAUGACCGUGGCAUACUGCUUUUGAUUUGCUGAGAUUCCUUAUUAAUUUGGGAUAAACAGGAGUUUUUUAUGGUUGUGCGGACAUUAGAUAUAUAUGCUAAUUUUUUAUGGUUGUAAGUUUGAGUUUUAAUUGUGAAAUCUGUGUUCUCUGGGGUUUGUUUAUUAAUUCCGGAUAAAGAGAGGUUCAUACGGUUGUUCAAACAUAACUUCAUAUGCUAAUUUUUCGUGGUUGUGAGUUUGGGUUCUUGUUCUGAAAUCUAUAUCUUGUUGGGAUUUGUUUGUGUUUGUAAGAAGAGAGUCACCAGAUUACAAGUUAUGUCAGUUCUGAUUUUGCUUUCUCUUGGUCGUGAUAUCUGAUUUGCAUCAUUGUUUUGAAGGUAGAUAGUUUUUUAAAAGUCUAGGCAGCAGACGUGAAGCUUUUUAGAAACUUUUGUUCGCAUAAUUUAUUUCUUUAUUUACGGUUAUAUUUUCAUUAGUUACAUUGGCACAAGAUGGACUCGUGGAAGAUGUAGACAUUAAGGACUUUAAACUGGUGACAUUUGUUCUUUGUACCUUUUUGUUUUCAUUUCACUGUUUCUUUCUCUUGUUUUUGGGCUUGACUUAUGGUUUUUGUAGGUAGUUGUUGACAAGAGCAAUGUUGGAAAUUUUGCCUUCAGCUCAUAAGACAAAAGUCUAUAGUCUGAUUGUACAGGUUCUUUUUUUAAAUUUUAUUUUCCACCAUUUUUUAGAACCUCUUGGUUUUUAAGACUUCCCAUUGGAUUUAACUCUCAAGGAGAUUUUGUUUCCUGGUUCUUCAUAACUCUCUAAAAUAUUUAGUUUUGGAAAACCAUUUGUUGGUACCGAGCUUGAAAUGACUUUUUGACCCUUUUAUUAUUUAGAAGUGUGUUUGGUGUUAUCAAUUUCCUUUAUUAUUAUGAUAAAGGGCAAAGAUUAUGAUAAAGGUCAGAUUUUCUUUUGGCUUCUUUUCUUGGUCAGAUUUCACUUCGGAGUUGGAUUAGUAUUUCUUUUGAAGUGGAAAUAUAAAUUGAUUUCAUUGUGAAUCUUGGAUGGUGUAUUUUCAGGACAGUCUUGGAAUUUUGAACGUUGUCAAUGCAAUUGUUUUGGGUAGUAUGCCUUGUUAUUUGAUUUUGCAACGAUAGUUUGUAGAUCUUUCUGACUUUUUGAUUAGAUCUCUUUUUCAUAUUAAUAGAUGGUUCUUCAUUCUGCUGUGUUCGUUUUUGGAUUUCCAUAAUGCAGAGAUGGAUAAUACUGAGAUUUUGAUACUAUCUACAUCGAGAUUCGGGCUAAGUCAUCCAAUAGGUGCUGUUUGAGGUUAUCAGUUAGAAUUGAAGAAAAGACAGGGAUGGAAGAUUUGGAAGCAGUGGGUGUAUCUUUUAACAGAUGGACUGUGGGAUUCUCACGCUGGGGUGGAUAAUUCAUCAAUUUUGCAGCAGUUUAAAGCUUUUAGGCUUGGCAGUGUUUGAAGAAGUUAUUUUGAUACUUGAAUUUUUAGUGCAGUUGCUGCUUUUGCCUGGUUUUUACAUUUCUAAUUUCUUUAAUCUUUUAGUCUCCUGGUAUCUGGGCUAAGAACUUUUUAUGGAUUUUGGUAGGAAGCUUUGUGCAAUGUCUGUGUAACCAUACACGUUAUGUUGGGAGUAUGAAAAAUUCUAUAUAUUGGGUUGAUGGAGUCUGAAUAGAGAAGGGUAAGCAGAUGCAGAGACAAUUGAUGGCCAUGAUCUAUGUUUUCUCUUUCUAAUUGAUUUAAAUGAUCUUGAAGUUUUACAGGCAGUGAUCAUAUUGCUUCAUUGAACAGUAAUUGUUGUAGAUCCAGGGAUAAUUGAUGGCCAUGGUCUGUGUUGUGUCUUCACUUAAUAAUUCAUAAAUGGGGUUCAUCUAGAUGUUUAACAGGCAGUUAUCACCUUGCUCAUAAUAAGAACAUUAAUUUUCUGAUGUGAUUGUGAUGUGGACUUCGAUCCUAUUUGCAUUUCUUAUGGUGGGAGAGACCUUUCCAGGUAUCAAACUUUGUCAUAUUUCUUUGCGCAUCAGCUUUUGUUUUUGGUAAUGUCAGUCUUUCUGGCCUCCAAACAGCAUUUCAUCAGUAGCGGAAAAUGGAUCAUGGCUUUUAUCAGUUUGCUUGAUAAAGUCUUUUGUAUGCAUUGGUUGGUUGGCUGGACAUUGUGAUGGGGAAAUUUGAUAUCUUCAUUUCUUGCUAGUGAUUCUUGUUCAUUGUUGGAGGAUCUUUUACUUUUAUCUUCUUGUUUUAGAAAAAUAUAGAAGUUAGAAGCCGUUUGUCCUUUGUGUUGUUUGUUUUUCUGUUGACUGUUUUUUUUUCUUUUUGUUUGUGACAAUCUCGACUCCCGGUGUUCAUAGGUAGUUGUUGACAACAGCAAUGUUGGAAAUUCUAUCCUCAGCACAUAACACAGAUAUGAUACUAUGGUUAUAUAGAUAAAAUUUUUUCCCUCUUGGUUUUUUUCGCUUGUAAUAUCCUUUUACUAUGGUUGACCUCUUGGUUUUUAUUGCUUGUAAUAUCUUUUUUAUGGUUUUGUUUACUCAGGGUUGCGUAUUUUGAAUUUUUGAAUCCUGUCUCAAGUCAGACUCACGAGGAAAUUUGCUCCCUGGUUCUUAUCCAAUCUUUUUAAAAUUUUUAGUUUUGGAACUUUUAGGAUCCUGAGUAGUUAAUGUCACUGAGUGUGAUUUGACUUUUUGACCAUUUAUUGUUUUGGAUGCUGAUGUAGUUUCCACAAUUAAAAGCAGGAAGUGCAAGGAUGAAGACCUCGCUGCAUUUGGAAUAGGGGUGUUUCUCUAUGUUUUUCAUAAAUUUUUUUUUCUUCGUUUGGUUAGGUUUUUGUGCAGUAGGUUGCUUUGAUUGCUUUCUGUGCUUCAUGUUCUUGAUUCUUGGGUCUCCACGGGCUGCUGUUAAAAAUUAUUAGCAAUUAUGCUGAGAGAAUGAGAUCUCUUUGUGGAUGGAGAUUGGGUAAGUAGAUGAGGAGGUGACGCCAUUUUAAUUGUCUAUAUCUUACAUAUACCCAAAAUUUGCUUACUGGGGUCCCCGGCCAGAACCACACGUGCAAGUUUCCCUGCAUGUAGCUUGUCCAUGCUUUCCGAGGCACUGCCUGUGACUCAGCAUGAGAGAAGGGGGCGGAACUGCACUCUCUCGUGUUCAGAGCAUUGUCCGAGUGAGUAGGCAGCGCCUACCAAGCAAAGCUUUCUUGAGGAGGCUGGGCUGCUUCCUUUUGGAAAACCAACCCUUUUUAUUUAUCUAUACUAAAAGCUGUUUGGAAAGAUUCCGGUAAUCACUUGCUUGUUUCAAAAGGUUGCAGACAUCCUUGCUGAGUGGAACGGUAAUCUUAUGCUGACAUUUUUCCUGUGUUUGUGAUUGAUAACUAUAUGAAUCCUUCUGUGAUUGUAGGUAGCAAAUACUUUUCUUGUUUCUCAAUCUCUGCAGCUAGCGUAUAUUUCAGUUUUCAUUUCUUGGAUUUAUAAAGUCUAGUUUUAAUUAGUUUUUAUAAAUGUCUGGAACAUGUUACUUUGUGAGGGCUUCAAAUUGAAUGGAUUUCGUUUAACUGAAAAAAUAUCUUUGUAAUUCCAGCUUUUGUAGUGGUCCUAAUCAAUAUUUUUAUGUACAGUGGCUGCUUGGGCUUUACUAAUGGAAAAAUUUCUUACUUAGUCUUCUAUUUCCUGUUUUGGAUUCCUGUGUUCUGCGCCUAAUACUUUUAACUUUUACCCUUUUUUUUUUCAUAAAUCUCCUGCCCUUUAAGUUCUUAAACUUUUGCUAUUUUCUUUUUUGAUCAGAUGCUUCUGGAAGGAGAUCAAUUUGGUAUUUUUUGUGUUUUUUGUUGUCAGGUUUUGGAAGCCUAAACAUAAUCGAGGUGGUUUGCCUUUUAAAUCAUUUUUAUUAUCUAUUGCCUAGAUUCUCAAAAUUUAUUGAUAUGUGUUUUUUACAGGCAGUUGUCAACAACAGUGUGCUUAGUUGAUAAGUAAUUGUUUCUCUGGUAUUUUGAGAAAAAUAUCUUUAUAGUUCCAGCUAGUUUUUAUAAUGGUCCUAAUUAAUGGUUUUAUAUGCAGUGGUCAGUUGGGCUCUACUAAUGGAGAAACUUGUUGCAAAGUCUUGAUUUCCUUUUUUGGAUUCUUGUGUUCUGUUUCGUUAUCUUUCACCUUUUAGCUCUGUUUUUCUUAAGUUCAAAACUCCCUUGCCCUUUGUGUUUUAAAUGUUUAGCUUUUGUAUUUGUUUUUUGUUUUUGUUGUUAGAGGUUUUGGGGAGGCAAAACUUAAUGGAUUUGGUUUGACUACCUAGUUCUCUUCACUUUUUGGUAAGAAUUUGAAAGUUUUCUGAUAUAUGUGGUUGUUGAUGAGAUUCUUCAGCAUUUUGGAUUUAUGUUCUCAUAUUCUUGUAAUUUUUUUUCUCUUUUAUUUUUUCCCUUUUUGGCCUCUCUUUGUUCGCUUAGACUCAUGUUUUUGUUUGGUUGGUUUGUCUUGAUUUUGCAGUCCUGUAUUUAAAUGAUGUGUUGCUAAAGAGGCUUUUCGAUUUUUGUAGGUUCUGUUUGAGGUUAUCAGUUAUAAAUAUUAGAGAAUAUAAGAGCAGGAUUGAAGAACAGUGGUGGGUGAGGGUUUCUUGUGAAAGGUUCUUUUUACACUAUAUCUAUACAUCUCUCCAUUUGUCAGUCAGAUGUUCUACUUUAAUGUUUGGAGUAGGUGAUUUUGACUCAAAUUUUAUGGGAUGUUAUUUACGUGAAUCUUGGAUAUUGCUGAUUGUGGACAAUCUAAUAUUUGAGAUCUGGAAAGCAGAUCUGGGUUGAUUUGCAGUGUUUCUAAGACCAGUUUGUUGUUUAGCCUGAUUUUAUCUUACAUGCAGAUGUUGGGAUUCUUGAGUUGGAACGGAUGAUCCGUCAAUCUUUCAGCUGUAUAAGCUUCUAGGUUUGGCAAUGUUUGAAGUUAUUUGAUACAUGUAUUUUUGGUGCAGUUAUUUGACUGGUUUUUAACUUUUCUAACUUCUUUAUCCCUUAGUCUCUCUGUGCCUGUGAAUUUUCAGUGCAUUUUAGUAGGAAGUCUUAUCCAAUGUAUGUCUGGUUAUUCAUGUUAUGUUUAGGAGUGUAAGAUUGUUGUAUAUUGUGGUGGAUGAAGUUCAAAGAAUGAGGACAGAAAGGGUUAAGCAGAUGCAGAGAUAAUUAUUGAUCAUGGUCUAAGUUACCUCUUUCGCUAGAAUCCAUAACCUUGGGGGUUUAGCUUUAUGUUUUACAGGCAGGGAUCACUUUGGGACCGUAAUUUUCUGAUACACUAGUGCAUGGAGUUAUUAAAGUGGUACAUGUUGUAAUCCUGUUGUGGGAAGAUUAUUCCAGCAUUUCAAGUUCUGUGACUUUUUUCUAUACAAAAUUUGCUUCUCUCAUAGCUUUGAAGAGUAUUUGGAAAUUAAAGGCAUAUUUUCAGUGAUUGGGCUUUUUUUUUUUAGUUUUUGGACACAGAAGUAGAGGAGAGGAAGAUAUUGCUUGUAAAGGACUUUGGACAGGAUGGAUUUGACUGAUUUCCAUUUUCUCUAAAUAUAUUGCCCAUUAUGGUAAAUGGUAUAUCUAUGCAUUUGGUUCGCUGGCUGUAUUGGUUCUUAUUUGAUCGUGUUGUGGAACCCCUGAGUGACAGGAAUUAGUCUUGGAUGUACUUUUGAUGUAGAAAAUUUGUAGCUACGGCCACCAGCAGGGGAAUCCAGAACAGGUCAAUCUUGCAUUUAUGGUUUCCAAUAAGAAAAUGCUGGCUUCUCUUCUCUUUGGCGUCUGAGCGUUUCUCUUCAGCAGUUGUUUCUAAUUUUCUUGGCAUAUUGGUUUUGGUUUCUUCAAUCGUUUGUUUUAUUUUUCAUAAUCGGAUUUCAUUUGUCAAGUGGAUUUUUUUUAUGAGUCCAAUCCAAACAGAAGUAGAUGUUGGAUGAAUCUUGUUUGUAGAUUGUUCUUGGAGUAUUAAGAUCUUGUGAUUCUCUUGACGUUGAAUGUGGAUUUAGCCCUAACCUGUUAUGGAGAUCUGGUUUGAUAUUUUGGUUGGUGUUCAGCCUUUCUGCAAAGGAUUUGGAAUGAUAAUUUUGGAUCAUUGGCUCUGUAUGAAUUGAUUCAGCUGUCCAGAUGGCAGAUGGUUCUUUUGGGUUUGUUGCCUCUUCUAAUACGAGAUUUAUGAAGUCAGAGAUCAUGCCUUCAUGACGGCUAUUCAACUUUAUGGAGGUUUGGAAAAUAUUUCAAUUCAUGAUUUACAUCUGCAGUGCUGGGUUUUCCUUUUCUAAAGUGCCUUCUUCAUUGCCAUGACCCUCAUUGUUAUUAAGAAGUUCCCUUUGUCUGCUUUUGUGAUAUUUCAGGAGAAUGAAAAUUAAGAGUAUCUUUUGUGAAUGUAGUUUGGAAGAGAUGAGUUAUAUUGCCAUGCCUAUACUGCUAUUUGAUUUAUUUUUGAGUUCUUAUUGUGAGGAUUUGUCUAUGUAGAUUUUACAACUCAGGAUUUUGAGCAGCAUCAUCUUCUUUGAGCUUAGGACAGCGGACUAGGCAGCAGGAAAGCAAGGAGUGCAGUCUGGAGAUGGAUGGGCAUACAUGAACAGGGAUGGUGAACGCAGAGGAUUCACUUUCCAUCUUUGAUGAAGGUGGAGGAGCUCAUGACAGCAACAACUACCGAGGGGGCAGCAGCCAGCAAUGUGUAGUAGAAGCGUUGGCGCAAUUCAGGUUAGAUCACCUCUGGAGGCCUAAACAAGAGGCGCUACGUGCAUGAUUUUGUGAAGGGCAAGGAGGUUUUGCAGGGCAAUCAUGGAACGAGACAGCUAAAACAAGGUCGACUUACUCGGGCUAUACUAAUCGGGUACUGGAUCAACAGUUCAUGCGAACAGGAAGGUUUUUGAGAGCACGACCAGGGCCCCUGUAACCACAGGGACUCGACUGGGGUUAUAUCUGGAAAACGGCGUCCCCCGGGACGUCUAGCCUGUUAGCUAGGGUAGGAACCGCAACCUACCUCUUAGAAUCUCAUACGAAUAGGGAUUGCAAGCAGAGAUUAUGAAAUGGUCUUAAUGUAUAGCGACACUACUGUCACAAACCUCCUGCCUAUUCACUACUAAAGACCGACAGCGUUAUGUACUUUUUUGCAAUUCCAGUUAUGUACUUUGAAACCAUUUGCUA